CACGUAGGGCGCAAGCGUUGUCCGGAAUUAUUGGGCGUAAAGAGCUCGUAGGCGGUCUGUUGCGUCCGCUGUGAAAACCCGGGGCUUAACCCUUGGCUUGCAGUGGAUACGGACAGACUAGAGGUAGGUAGGGGAGAAUGGAAUUCCCGGUGUAGCGGUGAAAUGCGCAGAUAUCAGGAGGAACACCGAUGGCGAAGGCAGGUCUCUGGGCAUUAACUGACGCUGAGGAGCGAAAGCAUGGGGAGCGAACAGG
rnacentral:rRNA from 1 species